GAUGAACGCUGGCGGCGUGCCUAAUACAUGCAAGUCGAGCGAACAGACGAGGAGCUUGCUCCUCUGACGUUAGCGGCGGACGGGUGAGUAACACGUGGAUAACCCACCUUAAAGACUGGGAUAACUUCGGGAAACCGGGGCUAUAACCGGUUAUAUUUUGGAACCCAAUGGUUAAUUGGUGAAAAAAGGUUUUGCUGUAAUUUUUGGUUGGUCCCGCGCCGCAUUAGUUAUUUGGUAAGGAAACGGCUUACCAAGGCAACGAUGCGUAGCGGCCCUGAGAGGGUGAUCGGCCACACUGGAACUGAGACACGGUCCAGUCUCCUACGGGAGGCAGCAGUAGGGAGUCUUCCGCGAUGGGCGAAAACCUGACGGAGCAACGCCGCGUGAGUGCUGAAGGUCUUCGGAUCGUAAAACGCUGUUAUUAGGGAAGAACAAAUGUGUAAGUAACUAUGCACUUCUUGACGGUACCUAAUCAGAAAGCCACGGCUAACUACGUG
rnacentral:rRNA from 1 species